GACGAACGCUGGCGGCGUGCCUAAUACAUGCAAGUAGAACGCUGAAGGAGGAGCUUGCUUCUCUGGAUGAGUUGCGAACGGGUGAGUAACGCGUAGGUAACCUGCCUGGUAGCGGGGGAUAACUAUUGGAAACGAUAGCUAAUACCGCAUAAUAUUGACUAUUGCAUGAUAGUCAGUUGAAAGGUGCAACUGCACCACUACCAGAUGGACCUGCGUUGUAUUAGCUAGUUGGUGGGGUAACGGCUCACCAAGGCGACGAUACAUAGCCGACCUGAGAGGGUGAUCGGCCACACUGGGACUGAGACACGGCCCAGACCCCUACGGGAGGCAGCAGUAGGGAAUCUUCGGCAAUGGACGGAAGUCUGACCGAGCAACGCCGCGUGAGUGAAGAAGGUUUUCGGAUCGUAAAGCUCUGUUGUAAGAGAAGAACGAGUGUGAGAGUGGAAAGCUCACACUGUGACGGUAUCUUACCAGAAAGGGACGGCUAACUACGUG
rnacentral:rRNA from 1 species